AAAAGAUGACGGUUAAGACCUCGUCUGUUCUUUCUUACCCAGUGUUUGCGAGAAUCAGGYGGGAUCUUGCCGUGAUUGAUGAAUGCUACCUGGUUGAUCCUGCCAGUAGUCAUAUGCUUGUCUCAAAGAUUAAGCCAUGCAUGUGUAAGUAUGAACGAAUUCAGA
rnacentral:rRNA from 2 species